rnacentral:tRNA from 1 species
GCUCGCGUGGAUCGGUUCCAUAUCGUGGCGCCCUUUGAUGGCGUUGUGUCAUCCGUCCAGGUGGACGUCGGGCACUCGGUGAGCGAGCA